rnacentral:rRNA from 1 species
AUGGAUCGCAAGUUUCUGAAUAUGGUCCUGCACGAGUAUGGCAGUAGAAUGUAUUCGCUGUGCCGCAUCAAGCUCUCCACUCAUCUCUUCUAUCCGACAGCAAAAGACGCAAUAACAGCCCAUGAAGAUGCAAAUGCAAGGAAGAAGAAGCAUGGGGGAUGGCCAUCAACGAUCUCGAGCUGCAAGCGCCCGCCAAGUACUUUGGUCAACUUCUCGGUGCCACCCAGCACUGCUGCCGCCAGUAACAUGCGUUUCUUCUCCCUCCUGCCUGAGCAGGGAGAGUCCUCUGUCAUGUUCACUGACCCUUCUUGCAACUCCGCAGUCUACGAUAUGGACAUGAAGUCUUUCGUUCUCGCACCCAGCUCAUACUUCUGCAAACCGUAUGAUUCCAUCACCGUGUCCAUUAGGAACCGAUGCAGCAGUGGCAAUUUCUUGGACCACGAAGAUGAUCAUGGCCUCUACGUCAUGAACAGCUUGGACGACAGCUUUGAGUUCUUCAGUUACUGCAAGGUUGGCCUAUCUACCUAUCCGUUGCUGUACAAUAAGUGGUACUGGAGUCCUCUGCCGUCUCCACCGUCCCGCACCAGUCCUCUUGUUGCAGCGGCGGUGAUUGACAACUCCACCAUAUGCGCGUCAUCCAAGAACGGCACAUACACCUUUGAUAUUUCGAGGGAGGUGUGGAGCCACACUGGCAGCUGGGUGCUGCCCUUCCACCGCGCAGCAGAGUAUGUCCCUGAGCUUGGACUCUGGUUCGGCCUCCAGGCCCCUGGCACCUGGCAAAAUCGCUUAUGUGCAUUUGACCUUUCAUCCUCUGCCAUGGCGGAAUCUGCUCCUUCACCCCUGCAUGAUUGGGAAUACCUCGAUCUCCUCCCCGACGAGUUGCUGCCGGUGGGGCGUGCCUUGGUGAACCUGGGCUCGGGCAAGUUUUGCAUCGCGACCCACUGCAGGAAGGAUAGGUCUGCACUCCAGGAGGAGGACGAGCUGGAGAAUAUUAGGAGUUUGGGUGGAAAUGGGGGUGUGCAAACUCUCUUGACUGGCGUGGAGGUGGUCCGCUGCGCCGACGGGCUCCAGCUUAUCCACCACAAGUCCCAACGUUACAACAUUGAAAACUUAAGUAUCCACUGUGUGCUCUGA